rnacentral:rRNA from 1 species
GCGCUUCUUGGAUAGGCCAGGAAGCAUGCCUCUUUGAGUAUCGUUUUCACCUCAGCUCGACUGCUCUUUUGUGGUAAAACACGAAAGGGCUGAGUUCGGAAAAUGAGCUAUCUUGUCUGUUAAUAGACAAGUUGCUUUAAAUAGCUGGUGGUCCUUUGCGAUAUUGUUUAUAGUGUGUUUUGUUUCUUCACGGAAACAAAGCUUGGUUGGUAAACUAAUCAAAACUAUAAUGUGGAUAAUUCUAUUUACAUUACAUGGAUUGAUUGGAGUACUUUCUUGAGUAAUCGCAUUGUAUACAUGCAAUAUCCAAACCACGAGUGGAAAUGUUAAUAAUUUUAAUUCUCGAAUUAGAUCUCAAAUGAAGCAAGACUACCCGCUGAACUUAAGCAUAUUAUUAAGCGGAGGAAAAGAAACUAACAAGGAUGCCCUCAGUAACGGCGAGUGAAGCGGGCAAAGCUCAACCUGAAAAUCGGAUACCCAAGCGGGUGUUCGAAUUGUGGGCUAGAGACGCGUGAUCAGUGUGUGACCCAGGUAUAAAUCUUUUGAAACAAGGUAUCAUAGAGGGUGAGAAUCCCGUCUUUGACCUGGAGUUUCGCCACGUACGAUCCGUGUUCACAGAGUCGAGUUGUUUGGGAUUGCAGC